rnacentral:lncRNA from 1 species
UGGUACCAUAGUUGAGCAUGGAUAUUUGUAAAGUGAUUUACUCAUGUGGGGUUUACAUGAGGGGUUUAAAAGAGCCAAAACAAUUGCAUUGUUUUGAGAAAAUGAAUGCAUCAUGAUUUCGUUAAACAUUCCUUAUGGUAUGCUUGUUCCCUUUCUUGUUCACUCACUGAGUUUAUGCUCACCGCUUUCAACUUCAUGUUUUCAGAUUACGAGGCAACUGGUAACUAGGUCGAGGUACCUUUGUAGACUCGACUAUUGGUCGGUGUCUCGGCAUUUAGUAGCUGUGCAUUCGUCAAGUUUCUCCACUAGACAUCGAGUCUUCUUUUAUUAUGAAUAGACAAACCUAAUGUGAAUUAUUAAGAUACAUGUUGUAGAUAGUGUAUGUACACUUGUUUGGUAUGCUAGUAUGAGGGGCAAUGUUCAAUAUUAUUUCGAUUUUAAGUUAUGAUAUAUGACUUAGCAGUUUAUGAUGGAAUGAUGAAUAUGUUAGAUUUAUAGGCUUGCUUGGGCUUAGUGGACUACGUCCAUUAUGUCCAUGCAUUGGUUAUGGCCCAGAAUUUAGGUCGUGACAAUGUUGGUAUCAAAGCUCUAGGUUUGUCUAGGUCCUGGACUUCCAUUUGUUGGUCUAGCGGAGUGUCGAGUUUUUAUGUGGGAACUUCGGUUAUGAAGUGUGAAUCGCAACACAUUUUAGACCAAGGGACCGCAUAGAUUCCCUAUCUUAGAAACCACCUUUUCCCUUAAGUAUGAUUAUGAAAUGUGUUUAGUAAUAGGUGUUUGCUCUUGUCUUGGUAAGAAUGCCGCCUAAGACACGAGCUGCCUCAAGACGGAUAGGGGAGCAAGAUGCUCCUACUAAAAUGGCAGAUAAGCCAUGGGCAUCCACCCUAAGGGGCUAAGGUAGACGUGGCAGGGCCACUAGGCCGAUGAGGGUGGAUACGCUUGUGGGUAGGUGAGAGGAGGGAUAGUCCUCAAGUGAUGUAGAUAGACACCCAACUUGAGGUAUUACCAUUGAGGAUUUGGCGACAGGCUUACAGGGAGUUAAUCGAGUUGUAGAGAUGAUGACGACCCAUAUGAAGGAUAUACAGAAGGUAGUAGAGGGGAGACCUACAGUGCAAGAAUCCUCUAACUCCUAAGGAUAGGCCGACCGCCAAUAUCAUGAGGUUGAGAGGGGUCACUUAGAGAUUUCUCUUCCUGGUUUUCUUAAGCUUAAGCCUCCAUCAUUUUCAAGGUCCGAUGUGUCGGAAAAGCCCCAGAUCUUUUUAGAUAAGAUGGAAAAAAUAUGUAAGGCUUUGGGAUGCUCUAGUGUCCAAUCAGUCGAGCUAGCACAUUUUAGAGUGAGGCCUAUUUUAAUGGAUAGGAUUAAAGAAACACAAGGUAAAGAUGAGUUUGUAGUUAAGGCCUUAGAGGAUCUUCAGGGAAGAAAAGGAAAAAUGUUUACCAAAGGCACAGAAGGAGUGAAGAGGUAACAUGGGAGGCCGAUAAGGAUAUGCAAACAAAGUAUCCCCACCUUCUUGUUGCAUAAAGGUAAGUCACCUUAUAGUUAAAUUUAAAUUCAAGGAUCGAAUUUCUUUAAAUGGGGGAGAAUGUGAGACCUUGACCUUUAUAGACUCGUAGAUAGAAAUAUACGCGAUAUCCCUAAGUAGGGGUAAUUUUGUCAUUUUCUCAAUAACCCAUAAAAGUAAGUUUUAAACAAUAUUAUGGCUUAAGUAGGCCUAAAGCAUAAAUGAAUGAUGAAAAUAUGGGUGAAAUGACAAGGAAAUAAAAUUUUUGAUGAUUUUCAUGUUCUAGGGGUAAAAUAGUAAUUUUACUAGUUUACGGGGGCAAAGUUAGAAUUUUGGAAUUUUACACCACCUAACACUUGUCAUACCCAUGGAUUUCAGCCAUUAACAUUUUACAUUAUGGAUAAUUAACACAUUUUAUGUGGUGGAGAGAUAUUGCUUAAUGGAUAAGUAUUACACAUUGACCAAUGGCAACAUGCCAUGUGUCAAGCUUUGAUCAUUCUAGAAUUUCCUUGUAAAAUCUAUUUAAAACUCUCUUAGUCUCACCCAUAUGGCUGGCCAAAGCAUGAAGUGAAGAGGAAAGGAAUGAACACAAAUCUUAGGUGGGAAAAUUGAAGAAAAAGUGUGGGAUUCCAAGGAAUUAAGCAAGGUAAAAUGAAAAUUCUUUAUUUUUACUUGAGAUUUACAAUGCCCAUGCUUUAUUUUCUUAUUUCUAUGGUUGAGAAACAUGAUUUCAUAGUGAAUAAGUGGUAGGCAAAAUGGGUAUGGAGAGAGAAUGAUCUUGGAUUGGUUUGAUUUUGAGGUAUGUUAGUGUUUUUAGGUGAUUAAUGAUGUGUAGCAUGAAAACAAGUGAAGAAAACCACCAAAGGUUUGGUGCCCAUCAAUAGCCGAAUUCUCUAAGUGAAUAAUGAGGAAGAAUGGGAUGUUAUUCUAGGUGAUUUGAUUAAGAAAUAAUAGUUUUUGGUGUAGGAAUUAAUGAAUAAUGGUGAGAAAAUUAAGUAGGAAAAAUCACGGAGUUAGUGUACCAUUGUUGGCCAAAGUUCCAAGAAGAAAAAUGAAGAUAAAUUUUGCCUAAUUGUGUGUUAAUUAGUUUGUGCUUGGUGAAUUGAGGGAUUGGAAAAGAAAUGGAGCAAGUUGGAGUGAAAUUGGAUGCUUUGGCCAAUUUAUCAGAUGAAAAAUCGACUUAGGCCAAUACUGGGUCUAGAUGGCUACUCGUGCAUUUUUCAUUUCAUAUCAUAUAUAUAUCGAGCCUGAAAUAGCUUAUGAUUGUUAGACAUAAUUUAAUUGGAAUAUGUGUCAUGGAUUAUGGCUAAGUGGUGAGCCAUUGGAUACAGGUAAAGGACUGUACCCGCGGACUAAAAAUAGGAGUAUUUCUACUCCUAAUACCGGUGAGUGGACUUGCAUUUCAAACUUGUUUUGGGGAAUAUGAAAGAUUCUAUCCAACUUGUCUUAAAAAAUGUACCUUGGGAACAAGCUUUUAGUAAAAUGAUUUUAUAUUAUGAAAAUGUGCUAUACAAUGGUUUAUGCGUUAUCACAAUAUGAUAAAAUGCAUGAUAUGCAUUGGAUGCUUCUUUGCAUGUUGAUGUGGAUCCCGCUAUGUGCGAGUGGAAGUGCACAUAAGCCGUUGCUGACCCGACUAUGUGCGAGUAGGGGUGCACAUAAGCCAUUGCUGACCCGGUUAUGUGCGAGUGGAACUGCACAUAAGCCAUUGGUGACCCGACUAUAUGCGAGUGGAACUGCACAUAAGCCAUUGCUGACCCGACUAUGUGCGAGUGGGAGUACGCAUAAGCCGUUGCAUAUGAGAUGGUGAUGAUGGGAGGGUGUACAUGAUGAUUGAUAUAUAUAUAUAUAUAUGUACAUGUUUAGUAUAUGGUUGUAAAUGCAAAUAUGUAAGCAUUUGAUUUGUUGAAAUUUGGGAGUUUACAUGUGUUACAUGCUGCUAUUGUUAUUUUAGCAAGAGGGCAUGUUUUAAAGGAAAAUGAGACUUUUUCCUUGAUGUUCUGACUCUCACUGCAGUAAGAAACUCUCAGGUUUGAGGGCUUGCACCAGACCUGGUUCUCGCUGCAACAAGAAUGAGGUUCGCUGUAGCGAGAAACUUUCUGUCCAUUUUGCUAACUUGUGGGUUUUUACCAUAUUUCCCAUUUCUUUGGUACCAUAGUUGAGCAUGGAUCUUGGUAAAGUGAUUUACUCAUGUGGGGUUUACAUGAAGGGUUGAAAAGAGCCAAAACAAUUGCAUUGUUUUGAGAAAAUGAAUGCAUCAUGAUUUCGUUAAACAUUCCUUAUGGUAUGCUUGUUCCUUUUCUUGUUCACUCACUGAGUUUAUGCUCACCGCUUUCCACUUCAUGUUUUCAGAUUACGAGGCAGCUGGUAACUAGGUCAAUGUACCUUUGUAGACUCGACUAUUGGUAGGUGUCUCGGCAUUUAGUAGCUGUACAUUCGUCAAGUUUCUCCUCUGGACAUCUAGUCUUCUUUUGUUAUGAAUAGACGAACCUAAUGUGAAUUAUUAAGAUACAUAUUGUAGACAGCGUAUAUACACUUGUUUGGUAUGCCAGUAUGAGGGGCAAUGUUCAAUAUUAUUUCGAUUCUAAGUUAUGAUAUAUGACU